rnacentral:tRNA from 1 species
GAGGGUAUAGCUCAGCGGUAGAGUGCCUGCCUAUCAUGUGUGCGGUCCUGAGUUCAAUUCCCAGUACCUCCA